rnacentral:rRNA from 1 species
CCUACGGGAGACAGCAGUGGGGAAUAUUGCGCAAUGGGCGAAAGCCUGACGCAGCGACGCCGCGUGAGGGAUGAAGGUCUUCGGAUCGUAAACCUCCGUUAGCAGGGAAGUACGGUCACUGUGCUAAUCAGUGGUGAAUUGACGGUACCUGCAAAGGAAGCACCGGCUAACUCCGUGCCAGCAGCUGCGGUAAUACGGAGGGUGCGAGCGUUAAUCGGAAUUACUGGGCGUAAAGCGCUCGUAGGCGGUAUGUCAAGUCAAGGGUGAAAUCCCCGCGCUCAACGUGGGAACUGCCUUUGAAACUGGCAGACUGGAGUAUGUGUGAGGAUAGUGGAAUUCCAGGUGUAGGAGUGAAAUCCGUAGAUAUCUGGAAGAACAUCAGUGGCGAAGGCGACUAUCUGGCACAUAACUGACGCUGAGGAGCGAAAGCGUGGGUAGCAAACAGGAUUAGAUACCCGGGUAGUC